ACCCUUUAAGAGAAUCUACAACCUUAAAACACAUUCAUGUCUACACAGAAACAUGGUAUCAUUCUCCUCCGAAAAUGCCAUUUUCUCUAUUCUCCACUUCAUCAGGACAUACAGUACAGUAGUAAAGUAGAACACUCUCAGGGACGAAUCGGAACUUGAUCUGCAUGUGUGCAUAACUUUUCAUGCACGCCUGCCAGUGACAUUCCUAGGCUACAUGAUUUAGGGGAAAGUCAAGGUUAUGCGUGCAGAAAUGAAAUGAUAAGGAUUGGGCUCUAAGCCUGGAUUGCUCUACAAAAACAGUUAUACAUUUUUAUUUAACUAAAUCAGAUGGACUGGGCAUGUUCAGGAUAGCCUGAACACAGAUGCAACAUAGCAUCUAUGGGUAGCACUUCAGUUUACGGUGCUGAAAUAAGAGUUUAAUGUCCGGAAAGUACCAGGAAACAACAGCGAAGUAAGUCGGAAACAACCAGGUAAGAACACGGUAAUUACUCAUUAAUAGUUAGUUUGUAGCUGCUAAAUAUUGACAUAAAGAGUGAUGAAUAAAUUUGUGUUUGUCACAUGCGGCGAAUACAACAGGUGUAGAACUUACAAGUCGUUAACCAACAAUGCAGUUAAGAAAAAUAAGAGUUAAGAAAAUAUUAACUAAAUAAACUAAAGUAAAAAUAAAUAAAUAAAAAGUUACACAACAAAUAACAAUAACGAGGCUAUAUCCAGGGGGUACCGGUACCGAGUCAAUAUGUGGAGGUACAGGUUAGUCAAGGUAAUUGAGGUAAUAUGUACGUGUACAGUGCAUUCGGAAAGCAUUCAGGCCCCUUGUCUUUUUCCACAUUUUGUUACGUCAGAGCCUUAUUCUAAAAUUGAUUAAAUAUUUUUUCCCCCCUCUACGCACAAUAGCCAUAAUGACAAAGCAAAACUGAUUUUUAGAAAUGUUUUCAAAUGUAUAGAAAAAAACACUGUAAAUAACUAUUUACAUAAGUAUUCAGACCCUUUACUCAGUACUUUGUUGAAGCACCUUUGGCUGCAAUUAUAGCCUCAAGUCUUCUUGGGUAUGAAGCUACAACCACGGCACACAUGCAUUUGGGCAGUUUCUCCCGUUCUUCUCUGCAGAGUCUCUCAAGCUCUGUCAGUUUGGAUAGGGGGCGUCGCUGCACAGGUAUUUUCAGGUCUCUCCAGAGAUGUUCGAUCGGAUUCAAGUCCGGGUUCUGGCUGGGCCACUCAAGGACAUUCAGAGACUUGUCCCGAAGCCACUCCUGUGUUGUCUUGGCUGUGUGCUGAGGGUCAUUGUCCUGUUGGAAGGUGAACCUUCGCCCCAGUCUGAGGUCCUGAGAGAUCUGGAGCAGGUUUUCAUCAAAGAUCACUCUGUUCUUUGCUCUGUUCAUCUUUCCCUCGAUCCUGACUAGUCCCCCAGUCCCUGCAGCUGAAAAACAUCCCCACAGCAUGACGCUGCCACCACCAUGCUUUACCGUAGGGAUGGUGCCAGGUUUCCUUCAGAUGUGACGCUUGCCAUUCAGGCCAAAGAGUUCAAUAUUGGUUCCAUCAGACCAGAGAAUCUUGUUUCUCAUGGUCUGAGUCCUUGAGGUGCCUUUUGGCAAACUUCAAGCGGGCUGUCAUGUUCCUUUUACUGAGGAGUGGCUUCCGUCUGGCCACUCUACCGUAAAAGCCUGAUUGGUGCAGUGCUGCAGAGAUGGUUGUCCUUCUGGAAGCUUCUCCCAUCUCCACAUGGGAGCGCUGUCAGAGUGACCAUCGGGUUCUUGGUCAACUCCCUGACCAAGGCCCUGCUCCCCGGAUUGCUCAGUCAUACCAGCUCUAGGAAGAGUCUUGGUGGUUCCAAACUUCUUACAUUUAAGAGAGAUGGAGGCCACUGUGUUCCUGGGGAACUUCAAGGCUGCAGACAUUUUUUGGUACUCUUCCCCAGAUCUGUGCUUCGACACAAUCUUAUCUUGGCGCUCUAUAGACAAUUCCUUCGACCUCAUGGCUUGGUUUUUGCUUUGACGUGCACUGCCAACUGUGGGACCUUAAAUAGACAGGUAUGUGCCUUUCCAAGUCAUGCCCAAUCAAUUGAGUUUACCACGGGUGGACCCAAGUUGUAGAAACAUCUUAAGGAUGACCAAUGGAAACAGGAUGCACCUGAGCUCAAUUCCGAGUCUCAUAACAAAGGGCCUGAAUACUUUGUAAAUAAGGUAUUUCUGUUUUAGUUUUUUUAUAAAUGUUCCAACAUUUAAAAAACCUGUUUUCACUUUCUCAUUAUGGGGUAUUGUGUGUACAUUGAUGAGGGGGGAAUAAAUAAAUACAUCUAUUUGAGAAUCAGGCUGUAAUGUAACAAAAUGUAGAAAAAGUCAAGGGGUCUGAAUACUUUGCACUGUAGGUAGGGGAAAAGUUACUAUGCAUAGAUAAUAAACAGUGAGUAGCAGCAGCGGGAAAAAAAGUCUAGGUCAAUGCAAAUAGUCCGGGUAAACAUUUGUUUAACUGUUCAGCAGUCUUAUGGCUUGGGGGUAGAAGCUGUUAAGGAACCUUUUGGAGCUAGACUUGGCGCUCCGGUACUGCAUUGCCAUGCGAUAACAGAGAGAACAGUCUAUAACUAGGGUGGCUGGAGUCUGACAAUUUUUAGUGCCUUCUUUUGACACCUCCUGGUAUAGAGGUCCUGGAUUGCAGGAAGCUUGGCCCCAGUGAUGUACUGGGCCGUACGCGCCUUGUGGUCUGCUGCCGAGCAGUUGCCAUACCAGGCGGUGAUGCAACCGGUCAGGAUGCUCUCGAUGGUGCAGCUGUAGAACGUUUUGAGGAUCUGAGGACCCAUGCCAAAUCAUUUUCAGUCUCCUGAGGGGUAAUAGGCAUUGCCGUGCCCUCUUCACGACUGUCUUGGUGUGUAUGGACCAUGAUAGUGUCGUGACAUGACUACCAUUAAUGUGAUGACGGCUAUUUUAUCAAAUCAAUUAACUAUAUUGAAUUAAUACGUGAUUAAAUUAAUCAUGUAACAAUGAACUCAUUAGUAACAUCGGGGCACCAUGGAAAAAGUUUGUUUUAUGAGUUACUGUUUCCCGAAUUAACUCAAGAAUAUAUCAGAAUAUAUCAUUAUCAUACCAGUCAUCCAUUAAUCAUUAUUUCCUCAUAUCAGUCUCAUUCUAACAUCGCAUAAUUCUUGGAUAUCUGCAAGAACCCUAGUCUAAAUAAUGAUUUAGCGAUACACAAAUUGGCUUAUUUAUUUAUUUACUAACUAAAUAAUCACACAGACAUACAUAAACAGUAUAGGUUGAAUUGAUUUCUAACAUAAUGCAAUGAAAAGUGCCUAGUGGACUAACUCGAUAUGACGGCUUGUUACACAGGGAAAGGGGUGGAGAAAGAAAGAGUGGGAGAGACAGAGAGGGGACCCAUCGUACAUACAGUUGGAAAAAUAUGCUCAUGGGAAUGUGAAUACAUUUCACAUGAGUGACUGCUCAUUUGAAAAUAAUUGCAAUGUAUAUAUUUAUGCUUGUAUGUUUUUGUCGUCGCUCUCUGUUGAAAUCGCCCGGUCCGUCUAUGGGGAGUCGUUCGACAGAAGUCUCUAGUUUGGGUAACAAUGUAUUUUGUGGUUGUAGUAGGCUUUCUUUGUCUCUUAGUGUUCGUUUGACUGGAUCCUUCAGAUAUACACACGCGGUGGUCUUUGGGUCGAGUUUACUAGACUAAGAGUUCUUAAACAGCUGUAGACUGAAUGUUCCGAUGUAGUCUUUAUCUUCUUCUAAACAUUUCGUAACGUUCAGCACACGCUGUCGGUCACGCUGGUCUAUAUUUAAAUUGCAACCAUUUCAACGGUUUCAGCUCGCGCUGCAUAUAUACUGGUCUUGUAAUUGUAAACCAUUUCAACAUGUAGCCACCGCUCCAUGCUUUCUGGUCUGUAUGUUAAUUCCUCAGCAAGUCCUUUUAAGCACUCGCCUUGGAGGGUGGUUCCAUCAUGUUGCCACAAUGUUGCCACAAAUCACAUUUAAUCUUUUCACAAAUAGUUUCAUAUUUAAUCAAAUAACAUUUAGAUGUAAAUCUGAUAACUGGGACGUAUACAUUUGUAGAAUUACAGUUAUUUAGUUAUACCAUCCUUAAUGAUAUCACAAAACAAUAAACCUUUGACAGGAUUUGUUGUUUGGACACCCACCAACCAUUCCAGAUGUUUGGGUUUGAAAACUAAUGUUCCAAUAUCCAAUCCGUUGAUGUUUGAAGUUUAUCCUUUGUGCAGAUAUCCUUUGUGCAAUACUGCAGGUCCAGAGAGAGAGUUUACAACCAGUCGUUAAAGUCAUAAGACCGGCCCACUUCCCCCACUUCCUCUGGUGUGAGAAAGAGUGGGCUCUCUUUGAUCCUCACCCAGGAGGGAAAGUCAUGACAAUAGUUUGAUGGUGACGUGGACACCGAGGAACUUGAAGUGCUCGACCUGCUAUACAAUAGCCCCGUUGAUAUGAAUGGGGGCAUGCUCAACCCUCCUUUUCCUGUAGUCUACGAUCAGCUCCUUUGUCUUGAUCAUAUUUAUUUAAAAUGUAAAAAAAUUGUGGUACUUUUACCCCUUUUUCUUCCCCAAUGUCAUGAUAUACAAUUGGUAGUUACAUUCCUGUCCCAUUGCUGCAACUCCCGUACGGACUUGGGAGAGGCGAUGAUCGAGAGUCAUGUGUCCUCCGAAACACAACCCUGCCAAGCCGCACUGCUUCUUGACACACUGCUCACUUAACCCGGAAUCCAGCCACACCAAUGUGUCGGAGAAAACACAGUACAACUUGCAACCGAGUCAGCUUGUAAAAAAAUUGUGGUACUUUUACCCCUUUUUCCUCCCCAAUGUCAUGAUAUACAAUUGGUAGUUACAUUCCUGUCCCAUUGCCCGGCCCACCAUAAGGAGUCGCUAGAGCGUGAUGGGACAAGAAAAUCAGCAAAACCCUCCCCUAAACCGAACAGCGCUGGGCCAAUUGUGCGCUGCCUCAUGGGUUUCACCGUCACGGUCCGGCUGUGACACAACCUGGAAUCAAACCCAGGGCUGUAGUGACGCCUCAAGCAAUGCAAUGCAGUGCCUUAGGGCCUCCUGAGUGGCGCAGCGGUCUAUCUUGAUCACGUUGGGGGAAGGAUUGUUGUCAUGUCACCACACGGCCAGGUUUCUGACCUCCUCCCUAUAGCCUGUCUCAUCGUUGUCGGUGAUCAGGCCUACCACCUUUGUGUUGUCGGCAAAUGUAACGAUAGGUUGUGCUUGGCCAUGUGCUUGGAGUACAGCGAGUACCCGUGUUGAGGAUCAGCAUGGCAGAUGUAUUUGGUAUUUUAUUAGGAUCCCCAUGAGCUGUUGCAAAAGCAGCAGCUACUCUUCUUGGGGUCCACACAAAACAUGAAACAUAAUACAGAAUGACAUAAGACAGAACAUCAAUAGACAAGAACAGCUCAAAGACACACGUAGCCUACAUAUCAAUGCAUACCCACAAACUAUCUAGGUCAAAUAGGGGAGAAGCGUUGUGCCACGAGGUGUUACUUUAUCUGUUUUUUGAAACCAGGUUUGCUCUUUAUUUGAGCAAUAUGAGAUAGAAGGAAGUUCCAUGCAAUUAGGGCUCUAUAUAAUACUGUACGCUUUCUUGAAUUUGUUCUUGAUUUGGGGGCUGUGAAAAAGACCCCUGCUGGCAUGUCUGGUGGGAUAAGUGUGUGUCAGAGCUAUGUGUAAGUUGACUAUGUAAACAAUUUGGGAUUUUCAACACAUUAAUGAUUCUUAUAAAAAGAAAAAGUGAUGCAGUCAGUCUCUCCUCAACUCUUAGCCAAGAGAGACUGGCAUGCAUUGUAUUUAUAUCAGCCCUCUGAUUACAAUUAAGAGCAAAACGCGCUCCUCUGUUCUGGGCCAGCUGCAGCUUAACUAGGUCUUUGCUUGCAGCACUGGACCCCACGACUAGACAAUAAUCAAGAUUAGACAAAACUAGAGCCUGCCGAACUUGCUUUUUGGAGUGUGGUGUCAAAAAAGCACAGCAUCUCUUUAUUACGGCCAGUCCUCUCCCCAUCUUUACAACCAUUGAAUCUAUAUGUUUUGACCAUGAUAGUUUACAAUCUAAGGUAACGCCAAGUAAUUUAGUCUCCUCAACUUGUUCAACAGCCACACCAUUCAUUACCAGAUUCAGCUGAGGUUGAGAAUUUAGGGAAUUAUGCUCAUAGUUUUAGAGAUGUUCUGGACCAGUUUAUUACUGGCCACCCAUUCCAAAACAGACUGCAACACUUUGUUAAGGGUUUCAGUGACUUCUUUAGCUGUGGUUGCUGAUGCGUAUAUGGUUGAAUCAUCAGCAUACAUGGACACACAUGCUUUGUUUAAUGCCAGUGGCAGGUCAUUGGUAAAAAUAGAAAAGAGUAGAGAGCUGCCCUGCGGUACACCACACACAUAUUUGACAUUAGAGAAGAUUGCAUUAAAGAAAACCCUUUGAGUUAUAUUAGUUAGAUAGCUCUGAAUCUACGAUAUGGCAGAGGUUGACAAGCAACAACACAUACGUUUUUUUCAACAACAGGUUAUGGUCAAUAAUAUCAACGGCUGCACUGAAAUCUAACAAUACAGCUUCCACAAUUUUACUAAUUAUCAAUUUCUCAUUUGUGUCAGUGCAGUACAUGUUGAGUACCCUUCUCUAUAAGCAUGCUGAAAGUCUGUUGUUAAUUUGUUUACAGAGAAAUAACAUUGUAUUUGGUCAAACACCAUUUUUCCCAACAGUUUGCUAAGAGCUGGCAGCAAGCUUAUAGGUCUGCUGUUAGAACUUUAGAACGCUUUACCGCUCUUGGAUAGCGGAAUUACUUUGGCUUCCCUACAGGCCUGAGGACAAAGACUUUCCUCUAGUCUCAGAUUAAAGAUAUGACAUAUAGGAGUGGCUAUAGAGUCAGCUACCAUCCUCAGUAGCUUCCCAUCUAAGUUGUUAAUGCCAGGAGGUUUGUCAUUACUGAUCGAUAACAAUAAUUUUCCCACCUCUCCCACACAAUUUUUACAAAACUUGCAAUGUUUUUCUUUCAUUAUUUGUUUUUUUUAUGCAUGAAUACAAUUGCUCACUGUUCGUUGUUGGCCCUUUCGUGCCUAAAUUUGCCCACUUUGCCAAUUAAAUAAUCAUUAAAAUAAUUGGCAACAUCAAAAUUCCAGCAUUCUUUACGACUACUGGCAGGUAACCUAGUGGUUAGUGCAUUGGGACAGUAACUGAAAGGUUGCUAAAUUGAAUCCCUGAGCUGACAAGGUAAAAAUCUGUCAUUCUACCCCUGAACAAGGCAGUUAACCCAUUGUUACUAGGCUGUCAUUGUAAAUAAGAAUUUGUUCUUAACUGAAUUGCCAAGUUAAAUAAAGGUAUUUGUUUUUUCAUUUUUAUAAUAAUUAUAUCAUUGAUCUUGGCUUCAUAAUACAGUUUAUUUUUCUUUUUAUUGAGUUUAGUCACAUCAUUUCUCAAUUUGCAGGAAGUAAGCCAGUCAGAUGUGCAGCCAGACUUAUUAGCCACUCCUUUUUCCCCAUCUCUUUCAACCAUACAGUUGUUCAAUUCCUCAUCAAUCUAUGGAGCCUUAACAGUUCUAACAGUUAGUUUAUUAACAGGUGCAUGUUUGUCAAUAAUUGGAUAAAGCAAUUUCAUACGUUCAUCAAGUGCAGCGUCUGGAUGCUCCUCAUUAAUCCCAUCAAACCAACAAAUAUUUUUAACAUCAUGUGUUGUUGCCUACCCUUACCACCUGGGGGUGGCCCGUCAGGAAGUCCAGGAUCCAGUUGUAGAGUGAGAUGUUUAGUCCCAGCGUCCUUAGCUUAGUGCUGAUCUUUGAGGGCACUAUGAUGUUGAACGCUGAGCUGUGGUCAAUGAACAACAUUCUUACGUAGGUGUUCCUCUUGUCCAGGUUGGAGAGGGCAGUGUGGAGUGCAAUGGAGAUUGCGUCAUCUGUGGAUCUGUUGGGGCGGUAUGCGAAUUGGAGUGAGCCAUGACCAGGCUUUCAAAGCACUUCAUGGCUACAAACGUGAGUGCUACGGGUCGGUAGUUAUUUAGGCAGGUAAUUUAGGCAGGUUACAAUAGUCUAUUUAUUGUGGUGUUGAAAACGCAAGCCAUGAUAUUGAAGUCCCCGAAGUCAGUAUGCUUUCUUUAUUGGUUGUGUGGUGCAUUGGCACAGAAACCUUUUGGUGGGAAAUUUGUUGCUUAUAUUUUAUAUAAUCAUAAAUAUGGCGUAAUAUGUUUAACUCUGGGGAGGGGGGCGCAUUUUUUGAAUGACACCUUGAGUUGGAACUUCACCUCCGUCUGCUGAACACCUGCCCUAGCCGCCGUUAACAGAACUACAGGAAAGCAUCCCACCUUGUACCGGAGUCCUAGCUUAAAUAUGGACCAAUAGAAGUAUAUAGUGAACUUCAAAAAGACGCCAUUACUAUUGCUCUAUUGCACCGUGCUCCAAAGAAAUGCCAGGAGGAGAUUCAACCGAUAACAAAUGAGGAAAAAGGGGUGCUUUGGUGAAUAUUCGUCCCAGUUUACUAACUCCUCUCACACACUCACUGCUACCGCUUGGUUAGUAGCAUGGUUCACCUUCCUCUGCUCUGGCGAGGGUGGCGUCAGAGUUGUGACAUCCCUAGGAUCCGGUCAUGGCUAGACAGUAUACAAUUUCCCAAAGUCGGAGCUCUAGGAUGAUGCCACGUUAGAAGACAACUUGGAACUUGGAAAUCUCCGACCCCCUUGUUCAGUGUUUUUGCUGCGUUCACGUGCUAGCCGGAACUAGGAAACUCUGAAAUGUAUGACUUGGUUGUAGUUAAUCAAGUGUCGCGUUCAACCAGCCAGGCCCCCCAUGAAAACAACUACAUCGACAAUGAUCCUUUGCUAGUUAUGGCCACUUUCACCGUGAUCCUUAGUGAUUUUUUGGUGCAAUUCAGCCGCUUCAGCAAUAUGGUGCGUCACAAAGUCAAAUACUUCUGGCUUCAUGCAUAGAAAGUUUUCCAUAGAAAUACGUGGAUGAUGCACUAUCACUAUCUACUGGUUUUAAUGUCUAUGCGUUCAACAAAUGAGUAAGUCGUAAUUUCAGAGUUUCCUAGUCCCGACAAGCAUGUCCUAGUCCCGACAAGAACGUCUCUGAAAAACUCUGAAAAAAACUAGCUUCAACUGGAAAAAAUAUUUUUUAGGUUCAUCAACUCUUAGAGCUCUGACUUUUUGACCUGAAGAACACUGAUAGUUUUUUUCAGAGUUCCCAGUUGUCUUGAAAGCACCAUGAUUCCAGAGUUUCCGACUUAGAAUUCCGAGUUGGAUGACCUUUUAAAACGUUAUUUCCCAGUCGGAGCUAUUUUGUUUUCUUCAGAUUUCCCAGUUGUCUUGAAAGCUGCGUUCAUAACCUAGGUGGGAAGGGGGAAAUUACCAUCUGGGAAGUCGUAAAUACCCGUGUGAUCCAUUCACAUGCUUUGAUUGGCUAAUGGCCAACAAACUGCCAACAAACUGCCAACAAACUGCCAACAAACUGCCAACAAACUGCCAACAAACUGCCAACAAACUGCCAACAAACUGCCAACAAACUGCAUCAACCAUAAACCCAAAGUACAGCUAUCAUGUUUGUAAACAAAUUAGAGUGUUAAAAAAACAUAGUAAUAGACAGUUAUUUAUAAACAAUGUUUUGUUGUUGCAUUUAACUGCUGAAAAUGCUGUUAUCGAGGUAAUUUCCUUAUUAGGUGACAUCAGAGGUCAGCAUGUGGGAGAAAUCGGAGUUCAUGGAUGAUUGACGAGUUUCCCACUAGUAAUUACUAGUUGGAGGGGCAUUUGAGUGUAUUUUUCCCAGUCGUAUGUGGUACAUACCACAUUCCCACAUGGUUAUGAAAGCAGCAUAAAGCAAGUCGGAGGUCGGAGAUUUCCGAGUUCCCAGUUGUCUUGAACACGGCUUAAGUCAGGUAACGCAUUGUGAUGACAUCAUGACAAGGUGUUUUGGCGACGUCAAACUUGCCAGUUCAUGGGAGAAAUGUUUUGAGGUUUACAUCGAGCUGUAGAAGGAGGGAAAGAUGGUGGAAGUGGAUGCUGAGUUCGAAUCAAGCAGCGCGUCGGGCAAAGUUGUUGAAGACGAAUGAUCUGAAUGGACUCUAAAAUUGGAGUGGAGGAUACGUGUAUGAAUCGCUUCUUGUUGGGAUGCAUUUGUUGAGUAAGGAUGCAUAUGUGGGAGACUCGUUUGAGGUGUCGAAAAUGGUUAAGUAUGCACUGGGGAAAGUGGAGUUUGUCAGAGUGAUGAGGAAUUGUUUUAUUUUGAUUAAUUGUAUUUCUGAAGAACAGAGGAAGAUUGCAGUGAGCCUUAAAAGAAUCUGGACAGGGCCUCCCGAGUGGCGCAGCGGUCUAACACCUUGCCCAAACCGGCUGCGCGCGGGAGCCAUCGUGCGCUAUCGUGCAUACAUUUAUUUUGCCCCUCCACACCAAACGCGAUCACGACACGCAGGUUAAAAUAUCAAAACAAACUCUGAACCAAUGACAUUCAUUUGGGGACAGGUCGAAAAGCAUUAAACAUGUAUGGUGUUUUAGCUAGUUAGCUUGCACUUGCUAGCUAACGUUAAUUUGUCCUGUUUAGCUAGCUUGCUGUUGCUAGCUAAUUUGUCCUGGGAUAUUAACCUUGAAUUGUUAUUUUACCUGAAAUGGACAAGGAUCUCUAUUAAUUAAUCCACAAUUAAUCCACACAUAAAACGGCCAACCGAAUCGUUUCUAGUCAUCUCUCCUCCUGCCAGGCUUUUUCAUCGUUUAAAUUAUAUGGUGAUCGCAUCUAAACUUUCAUUCUAUUACCACGACUACCGGCAAAACAGUUUUCGUCUUUCUAUCACCCACGUGGGUAUAACCAAUGAGGACAUGGCACGUGGGUACCUGCUUCUAUAAACUAAUGAGAUGGCACGUGGAUACCUGCUUCUAUAAACCAAUGAGGAGAUGGGAGAGGCAGGACUUGCAUCGCGAUCUGCGUCAGAAAUAGGAACGGCAGCUAUUUUAGCCCUUGGUGUCGCAGACGCUCCUUGGCACACGCAAGCAGUGUGGGUGCAAUAAUUGAAUAACAUAGGUUUUUUAAUUUAUUUUGCGACCUGUCCGGUCUGGUCAGCAUGUAAGGCAGUGCUAAAGGCGUCACUACAGACCCGGGUUCUGUGUCGGGAGACGACCGGGAGACCCAUGAGGCGGCGCACAAUUGGCCCAGCGUCAUCCGGGUUAGGGGAGGGUUUGGCCGGCCGUCCGGGUUGUCCUUGUCCCCCCCGCUUGCGGGCCGGACGCAUGCACGCUGACUUCAGUCGCCAGUUGUACGGUGUUUCCUUCGUCACAUUGGUGCGACUGGCUUCCGGGUUAAGCGAGCAGUGUGUCAAGAAGCAGUGUGGCUUGCCACAUGUUUCAGAGGACACAUGGCUCUCGACCUUCGCCUCUCCCGAGUCCGUACGGGAGUUUCAGCGAUGGUACAAGACUGUCACUAGCAAUUGGAUAUCACGAAAUUGGGGAGAUAAACAGGUAAUAAGUUUUAAAAAUAUAUAUAUAAAUAUAUAUAUAUAUAUAACAUCCGGACAACAGAAGUUUUGUGUUUUAAAAUUCGGAGUAGAGCACCCGUCAAAGGAGUCAUCUCAGGGGUGAUGACAGAUGUUCAGGUUGAAUACCUGAAGAGAAUUCCUGGUGUGGUUGGGGCCCGGGGUCUGACCUGCUGGCUGAAUGGAGAAAAAGAAGAAAGUCUGUCGGUCCUGUUGUUUUUUGAUAAAGAGCAAAUACCUACAUAUGUGAAGCUUGGUUAUGUAAGAUACACUCACUGUAAGAGCUUUCAUCCCCAAAACCACUGCAGUAUAAGAAUUGUGAAGGAUUUGGCCAUGUUUCAAGUGUGUGCAGAUGGACAGUUUAGUUUAGUUUAUUUAUUUAUUUUGGUAGUUUGGUCGUUUUUUUGCUAGUUUGUUGCAUUUUUGGGAAUCCUGUUUCCAUCCUGCACAGUAGUCGGUGGGUUGCACAUUAAAUUGUGCGAUCGCCAAUAUACCAUAGAAGAAGAAGAAACGUUUUGAGAAGAAUAAACAUUAACAUCGUGAAAUGUGAGUAUUAUGUUUAUUUAUUCAACAAAUGACGUUAAAAUGUUCAUCAACAUACUUUCAUAUGAAGGUUAAAUUCAAUCAUUAGGACACAAUGCAGAGGCAGGUCUCUAGCCAAGCUAGCUACCAGGUGAUCUUGUCGUUUUUACGCUAUGAACAGCUAAUUGUAUAUUCAGGAAUGUGUCAAUGAUGUAGGAAUGCACAGUUUUCAAAUCCUGAAUUGGUGAUCUUGCUGGCCAGCUAAUGACAAAUCAUAUAUUUCAAACUGUUUUCAUUCAGGGACGAAAGAGGACAAUGCAUUGGCAGGACAAAACUCUUUCCCGACUGGUUUGAAGUCUAUCUACAGGUGACCAGGUGGACCUCUUCACCAAGCAGGCCUUCGCUGCAGUCUUACGUCACCAGCAGAACCCAAAGGUCUAUGAUGAGGUACUUUAUAUUAAGAUUGUGCUUCCAACCUGCCGCAUGGAUACCUCAGCAUCCAUGAGGGCAUCAUCAUGAGUGAUGGUUCAUAUUGUAGCUCACGCGUAGGGACUGGAACACCACCUCAGGUCCUAUGUGAAGUUUGUGUUCAAGCCAGAGCCGAACUCAGCCAGCCUGUCCCUAACCCUAAGAGUGUCCAUGAGGAGCUGGCUAAAGCCAUGACAGCCAACCUCAAACCCUCCACUCACUUCCUCACCAGCAACAAACUGCUGCUCGUUGUACUCCGUAGAAGCCUUGGUGAAGUCUAUGGCCCACCAUAGGAGCCAGGGUGGUAAAUUCAACCUGUCUAGAAGACCAAGUUUCUCUGCCUCCUUCCACCACACAGUAGAUAAACAUGCUGAGGCCUCACAUCAACCAGAACUACAAGGACAAACUGGACGCUGCCCGAAACGCCAACCACAGUCUGGCAGUCUUGGUGUGCCAUAGACUGCCAACAAAAAAGUUGUUGGUUUCAUUCACAAAAUUGCCACAUUCAGUUCUAUGGUAAUGCUAUUUUCUUGAUAUGAGGACUGAUGACAUAUUGUUUGCUACAAGAAGCUAAAUAAAUCAUAUUUACUAUUGUAGUGUUAAACUAUCUGAAAAUCUGAAGAAAACAGAAACUAAGGUGAAAGUAAUAGUAAUUUACACAAUAACAGGGAAACAGAGCAUUGCUUUAGAAUACAGUGCCAAGGCCCCGUAGGUACACUGAUACUAUGGUGAAACUAUCCAGGAAGUAACAGUAAGCUACACUGAAACUAUGGUGAAACUAUCCAGGAAGUAACAGUAAGCUACACUGAAACAAUGGUCCUAGUAAUUUACACGGUAAUGGGAACAGAGCGUUGCUUUAGAAUACAGCCCCAUAGGUACACUGAAACAAUACGGUGAGACUACGCACAAAGUAACAGGUAAGGUACUUAAGUACAGUGCUGAAAUAAGUUCCAAGUACAUUCUUAAUAAGUAUACCCUCUAUUAUUGGUAGUUCUUCAGUAAGGAAUAGUUGUUCCUACAUAACAACCAGGAUAAUUCUUUACAUCAGCAGCUACAAACAAAAUAUGAAGAUAAUUGGUGUUCAUGCCUGGUUGUUGCCAUCUUAUUUCAUUGUUUUUUCUAGGUACUUUCCAGACAUUACCCUCUUAUUCAGCUAGCCUUGUGACCUAAGCCACCCUGCUAUUUCCUGUUUCCCGUGUUACUCUGCCUUCGGAUUGGAGAAGAGCGGAGUAAAUGUAACCCAAUCCGCUUCAAGCUUUCAGCCUCUCUAGUAAUAGUAUUUUAUGUUCUCUUCCUGUGAAGAGGAAUUAUUUAAUAAAACAAUGACUUUGUCCUUACUGCCAUUAGCCCAUAGAAACACAUUCAAUAACAUAUCCAUACAUGGUAAAAUAGAUUGUAAAGUCCAAAGUAUGUUUUGGGGGGCGCUAGUGAGCAACCCAUGGGGUAGACCAAUUGCAUUUAUUUAAUAGUUUCUUUGUGCUUUGACCCGCUAAAGAACUAGGAAACACAGCCUUUGAAUGACGUGCGUUACUUUGUUCAACUUUUAUUUGAGUUUUAAUGUAUAAAUGGCGCAUAACCGGCAAAAGUUCAAGUUCAGCUGAGUCACUGACAAAAGAGAAAACACUAGCCCCAAGACGAGGAGCUCUUCAACAAGUGGGAGCAGCGGCUCCUCGGGUCUGUGAAAAAAUGAACACCAAGGAUUUGAAGGCCGAGAUUCUUGCUGCCCUCAGAGCGGAUAUUUCAUCUAUACUCAAGUCGGAACUCAAGGAGGCGCUCAAUGAGGACUUUCAUUUUAUUAAGUCGGAGUUACAAGCAGUCAAGAAUGAACUCGCAAAGCAUACAGCAAUCGUUCGUACUGAACUGGAUACAGUUUUAAAAAACGGUCUGAAAGCCUGUACAUAAUAAAACUAUUCCAAAGCAUGCAUCCUGUUUGCAAUAAGGCAACAAAGUAAUAUUGCAAAAAAUGUGGCAAAGCAAUUAACUUUUUGUCCUGAAUAUAAAGUGUAAUGUUUGGGGCAAAUCCAUUACACCACAUUACUGAGUACCACUCUCCAUAUUGUCAAGCAUAGUGGUGGCUGCAUCAUGUUAUGUGUAUGCUUGUAAUCGGUAAGGGAUAGGGAGUUUUUCAGGAUAAAAAAGAAACAGAUUGGAGCUAAGCCCAGACAAAAUCCUAGAGGAAAACCGGUCUGCUUUCCACCAGACACUGGGAGAUGAAUUCACCUUUCAGCAUGACAAUAACCUAAAACACAAGGCCAAAUGUACACUGGAGUUGCUUACCAAGAAGACAGUGAAAGUUCCUGAGUGGCCGAGUUAAAUGUUUGACUUAAGUCUACUUGAAAACCUAUGGCAAUACAUGCAAAUAGUUGUCUAGCAAUGAUCAACAACCAAUUUAACAGAGCUUGAUGCAUUUUGAAAAUAAUAAUGGGCAAGUGUGGCAAAAUCCAGGUGUGGAAAGCUCUUAGAGACUUACCCAGAAAGACUCACAGCUGUAAUCGCUGCCAAAGUUGCUUCUAUAAAGUAUUUUAGUCAGCGGUGUGAAUACCUGUGUAAAUGAGAUAUUUCUGUAGUUCAUUUUCAAUAAAUGUGCAAACAUUUCUAAAAACAUGCUUUUCAUAUUGUCAUUAUGGGGUAUUGUGUGUCGAUGGGUGAGAGAAAAAUAUAUUUAAUACAUUUUGAAUUCAGGCUGUAACGCAACAAAAUGUGAAAUAUGUCAAGGGGUGUGAAUCCUUUCUGAAGGCACUGUAGCUGCCAGACACAGAUCAGCAUGCAGACUACUGUACUGUACAAACAUAGAGGCAGACAGUGUACAGCUCUUACACACCGUUGUGGGCGUGCUGGAGAGCUGCACUGCUCAACGAAUGCCUUCGUUCGAGAAGAAUUGGAUCACUAAGAAUCGAAUGAACUCUGCAGGUGUUUAUCUGUUGUGUGGGUAUUGAAAAAAGGAAAUGACAGAGGUUAGAUAGACUAUUUUCUCCCCUGCUUCUGGUGCGUGGGUGCGCUCUUGGCCAAGUGUGAAGAGCUACUUGUAGUGGGUACGCCAGUCAAAGCAACGUAUAUGUCCAGCCAGAGUAUCUAGUGAUUCUAUAGAGUUAACUGGCUACAGAGAGAGAUAUUUAACUGGGUCCUGAGCAGUAAUGGUACGUUGAUAAAAUCACUGGAAAGCCAAACCAGGAAGAAUUGCCAUACUACAUCCUAUGUGGUGAUAAUUGCAUUUUUGGCUCUAUAACCUGUUAGUUCAUAUGCCUUGCCACCAUGAUAGCCAAAAACAAGAUACAAUUCAACCACACCUAUGUUUCCUCACAAAACCAGAGAGCAACAUCUGUCCGUUGAAGUCUAGAAAGCACAUUGCAUGUAACAUGUUACAUGACCUACAGCAUGGUCAAGUAAGUUAAUGUUUCCGACAUUUUCGGACUACUAAACAACUAUUGAUUUAAAACAGAGUUACCGCAAGUAGCAAAGAAAACAGGAGCUGCCUCCACUAUUCCAGCACCAAUUUCAACUUUAACAUUUCAACAUCAUCAUAUUAUCUUUGCUUAGUCUAAUGCAGCGACAACUAAAAUAUACCAAAAACAAUUUAGUCCAAUCAACAUAAGCUAAAUAUUAAGUAGCAGUCCAUGGUACUGAUUUCUGUGUGUGCGCACGCACGUUCAAGUAGAAAAACAUGUUCACUCACCCUACUUGUAGAGAAACGCUAAUACCAUCCACCUUUCUCUCAUGUUACCAAAACUAUCUAUGAGUCUGCCAUACCGUACACACUUUUAGUUUUUGUUGUCCUAGGCCUAACUUCCUUUCAUGGGCAACGAUGAGCCAGCUGGUUAACACUAGCCUAGUACAUCUAGCUACAUAUUGAACUUCCAUCCUCUCAGGCAAGGAGCACAAUGUAUGAAUUAAUGGUUGGAUCAGAAUCACCAUUAUAAUCAUUGGCCAGUAUGGAGAAUUAAGUAAAACCACAAGUCAAAAUCCCUAUCUCCAUCCAUGGCUAAUUUAUGAAAGGGACAUUUUUAGCUAGCUAGCUAGCCCCCUUAGGACAACAACAUAACGAGAUGCAACAAUUUGUUUUUUCUGUCAAUGACGUUUGGCUUUUGAUGUGAUUGGAGUGAAGCCAAAUCCAAACUGGCUUCCCUUCACACUUUUUUGGGUACGCCAGGACCAUUCACAGUUUCGCUCACUCAGUUUCGCUCAACACUGUUUAGCUAUUUAUUUAUUUAUUUUUAUUAUCAAGGGAGGCCAAAUACUCGCUAGCUUCCCCUGCAUUCAAUGCUACGGAUGGCAAAAUGAUCAUACUCUUUUUUGACAGGACAGCAUGAAAUAGAUGGGCUUCACAUACAGAGACAGAGGGGCGCUGUUUUGCUCGCUCGGAUGCUUUCUCCAGUGAGAUACAUUCAGCCUCUUGCGAGUUGAAGGAAAAUUAUGAAACACAGACAGGCAAAAGAUAAAUAAUUGUAUAUGUUUUUUUCUUGGUACAUUUUUUGGGGACACCUGGCUUCCCUUGAAACCCCUGAAUACGCUGCCACUGGUCCUGGUAGAGAGACUUAAGCUGGAUAAUCAUUGUGUUGAAUGUGUUUCGUACCAUUAGUCUAAUUGACCCAUGUGUUACUAACAGCUACAACUGUCUGGAAAAUACAGAGAGUAUUAAUACAGGGGACACACACACACAGGAGGAGUGUUUCGCUGUGGACCCCAGUAGCAGUAGUUAUCACAGGGGAGGUUUGGCAGAGCGAGGUAGUACAUUCCAGUUUCUCUAACACUGGGCAGCAGAGACUCAGACUAAAACAAAUAGUCAUUUAUCUAAAUAUGGUGUUUAAUCAAAGUGUUUUUGCUGGCGGAACAGUCAAGUGGUUGACCUGAACACACAAGGACGAAUCCAUAUGUCUUUGUUAACUAUUGUAUAUUCAUACUGGGUGUUUCUCUG